CCAUCACUUUUUGUUGUUGUUGUGUCUGUUUUCUUUCAGGUUUUUCUGUGGUUCAUCUUCUGUGCUCGACUGUUCUUCAGUGAGUGGCCACAGAGGACUAACUGCCCAAUGUCAUGAGUCCUGUAGCUGUGAAAUCUGUGAGGUUGAGGACCAUGUCUUCUC
rnacentral:lncRNA from 1 species